GAUCUUAUCAAGUCCGAUCAUAUCUGAAUCAACCUUAAUCUGAUUUUAUCAUUAUCGGAUUUAAUCCGAUGAUAUUACCUUAAAUCGUGUUGUCAGCUUCCAAACAACGAUGUCGUUUAAGUAAUUGCUGAUAAAAUUCGUCGUCGAACCUAACACAGCGUACAGGAUCCCGGAAACCCCCCAUCUCACUCUUGCCUCUACCCAAUCGCCACCCUCACCCGCCUUCCUCCUCUCAACUCGUAGGGUUUCGGACUUACCAAACUCAGCCAUGGCCAUGCAAGCGGGCAUGGGAUUAUCUCGGGUCCUGAUCUUAGUCGGAGCAGGAUACACUGGCACGAUCAUGCUUAAGAACGGUAAAUUAUCGGACUUGCUUGGCGAACUUCAGUCAUUGCUGAAGGGAAUGGAAAAAUCUGGGGAUCACUCAGACGGCGAUUCUGAAUAUUCUGAUGCCAUCGCAACCCAGGUCCGUCGACUGGCUAUGGAAGUUCGACAAAUAGCCUCAUCACGGCAAAUUACCGUUCUGAAUGGGAAUAGUGGUCAAAUUGGUUUAACAUCUCUUGUAGUUCCAGCUGCUACCUUGGGGGCGUUGGGUUAUGGCUACAUGUGGUGGAAGGGACUUAAAUUUUCAGAUCUUAUGUAUGUGACAAAACGUAACAUGGCUAGUGCUGUUUCGAACUUGACAAAGCAUCUGGAGAAUGUGUCAGAGGCUCUUGCUGCAACAAAGAGGCAUUUGACACAGCGGAUAGGGAACUUGGAUGAUAAAAUGGAAAAGCAGAACGAGAUGUCAAAGUUGAUUAAGAAUGAUGUUUCUGAAGUUCAAAAAUCUCUUUCUGACAUUGGAUCUGACUUGAAUGUAUUACAGCGACUGAUGGAAGGUUUGGAUGACAAGAUAUGUACAUUGGAGGAUAAGCAGGAUAUUGCAAAUUUUGGUGUUCUGUACCUGUGCAACUUUGUUGAUGGAAAGCAAGGAGUGAUGCCUGAAGCUCUUAAGGAGCAACUUAAAAUUACUGGAAAAUCUCGUAGUUUACUCACAUGUACAGAAACUCCAAGUCUGAAGUUGCUGUGGUAGUGGGCUUGAUAAUCACAUGAAGGAAUUUGUCUCGUUCUUAUAUGUCUGCUUUGGCAUCAUAUUAUAUUUUCAGGAUCUUAAGGAGAUUACAGACAGUUUGUCAUCGGGAGAAAAGCCAAGAACCCUGCUGAGGACGCUCUCUACCAAGUGUUGAAUGCAAAUUUGUAGACGAGAUGGUAACUCACCGUAUCGUGGUUCUUCAUGGAUGUGCUUAUUCUAUAGUUAAUUUGGUUUGACUUGUUAGAGCAUCACUGUUACUGGAGAUUUCUUGUUUAAUUUCCAUAUAUAUAUAUAUAUAUAUAUAAAUAUAUUCUUUUAUCUUUCA